GAUGAACGCUAGCGGCAGGCCUAACACAUGCAAGUCGAGGGGCAGCAUAAAAUUAGCUUGCUAAUUUGGUGGCGACCGGCGCACGGGUGCGUAACGCGUAUGCAACCUACCUUAUACUGGGGGAUAGCCCGGAGAAAUUCGGAUUAAUACCCCAUAGUAUUGUUAAAUCGCAUGGUUUGAUAAUUAAAGGUUACGGUAUAAGAUGGGCAUGCGUCCUAUUAGCUAGAUGGUGAGGUAACGGCUCACCAUGGCGACGAUAGGUAGGGGGCCUGAGAGGGUGGUCCCCCACACUGGUACUGAGACACGGACCAGACUCCUACGGGAGGCAGCAGUGAGGAAUAUUGGUCAAUGGGCGCAAGCCUGAACCAGCCAUGCCGCGUGCAGGAAGAAUGCCCUAUGGGUUGUAAACUGCUUUUAUUGGGAAUAAACCUCUUUACGUGUAGNGAGCUGAAGGUACCAAAUGAAUAAGCACCGGCUAACUCCGUGCCAGCAGCCGCGG
rnacentral:rRNA from 1 species